CGGCAGGCCUAACACAUGCAAGUCGAGCGAGAAAGGGGCUUCGGCCCCGAGUAGAGCGGCGCACGGGUGAGUAACACGUGAAUAAUCUGCCUUCAGGCCGGGGAUAACAGACCGAAAGGACUGCUAAUACCCGAUAAGCUUCCGCACCAACCGGGUGAGUGGAGAAAAGUGUGGGAUCGCAAGACCACAUACCAGAAGAUGAGUUCGCGUUCCAUUAGAUAGUUGGCGGGGUAAUGGCCCACCAAGUCGACGAUGGAUAGCUGGUCUGAGAGGAUGAUCAGCCACACUGGGACUGAGACACGGCCCAGACUCCUACGGGAGGCAGCAGUGGGGAAUCUUGCGCAAUGGACGAAAGUCUGACGCAGCCAUGCCGCGUGAGUGAUGAAAAGGCCUUCGGGUUGUAAAGCUCUGUCUAAGGGAAAAAACGUCAUCAUAGCGAACAGAGAUGGUGAGUGAUGGUACCCUUAAAGAAAGCACCGGCUAACUCCGUGCCAGCCGCUGC
rnacentral:rRNA from 1 species